CCUACGGGGCGCAGCAGUGAGGAAUAUUGGUCAAUGGGCGCAAGCCUGAACCAGCCAAGUCGCGUGAGGGAUGACGGUCCUAUGGAUUGUAAACCUCUUUUGUCGGGGAGCAAGGCCCGCCACGUGCGGCGGGAAGGAGAGUACCCGAAGAAAAAGCAUCGGCUAACUCCGUGCCAGCAGCCGCGGUAAUACGGAGGAUGCGAGCGUUAUCCGGAUUUAUUGGGUUUAAAGGGUGCGUAGGCGGGUUAUCAAGUCAGCGGUAAAAUCGUGGAGCUCAACUCCCUCCAGCCGUUGAAACUGAUGAU
rnacentral:rRNA from 1 species